rnacentral:rRNA from 1 species
GACAGAGGAUGCAAGCGUUAUCCGGAAUGAUUGGGGGUAAAGCGUCUGUAGGUGGCUUUUCAAGUCCGCCGUCAAAUCCCAGGGCUCAACCCUGGACAGGCGGUGGAAACUACCAAGCUGGAGUACGGUAGGGGCAGAGGGAAUUUCCGGUGGAGCGGUGAAAUGCGUAGAGAUCGGGAAGAACACCAACGGCGAAAGCACUCUGGUGGGCCGACACUGACACUGUGGGA